rnacentral:rRNA from 13 species
CGUGAGACAGUUUGGUCCCUAUCUACCGUAAGCGUUAGAAAAUUGAAAGGAUUAAACUCUAGUACGAGAGGACCGAGAAAAGUAAAUCUAUGGUGAAUCGAUUGUUAUACCAAUAGCAAAGUCGAGUAGCUACAUUUAUAAUAGAUAAUUGCUGAAAGCAUUUAAGCGAGAAACUAACCUUAAGAUAAGUUUUCAAAAUUGUAACAUAAUAUUACAUCGAUAGACUUAAUGUGUAAGAAUUGUGAAAUUUUCAGCUUUUAAGUACUAAUUA